rnacentral:misc_RNA from 1 species
GCGCAUAAGAUAUUUACCCGAAAUUUAUCAUUGUUUACACUCCAUUGUGUCAAUAGUACUUAGAUCUGAGAAUAUGAAAUUGAAGCCUAUGGCUGAUGCAAAACAUGCUGCACACUCUAAAAUCAGCCCCUUAAAAGUCAAAAAUCAAUAUUUUAUAUUAAAGAUAACCCCUAAUUUUAGCUUUAUUUAUCAGUUUACACUG